GUAGUCCACGCCGUAAACGAUGGAUACUAGCUGUACGGUUGCAAGACUGUGUGGCUAAGCGAAAGUGAUAAGUAUCCCACCUGGGGAGUACGAACGCAAGUUUGAAACUCAAAGGAAUUGACGGGGGCCCGCACAAGCGGUGGAGCAUGUGGUUUAAUUCGAUGAUACGCGAGGAACCUUACCAAGGCUUAAAUGGGGGACGACAGGACUGGAAACAGACCCUUCUUCGGACGUCCUUCAAGGUGCUGCAUGGUUGUCGUCAGCUCGUGCCGUGAGGUGUCAGGUUAAGUCCUAUAACGAGCGCAACCCCUGUUGUUAGUUGCCAGCGAGUCAUGUCGGGAACUCUAGCAAGACUGCCAGUGCAAACUGUGA
rnacentral:rRNA from 1 species